UGGCACCGGCGCGGCGGUGGGAGUCGGAUUCGCCGGGCUGGCUGCCGGCGGGCUCGCUGGCUACGCCCUCGGCGGGGGGUUCUGCAGCGACAGCCCACCGAGAGAGGAGGUAUCAGUCGCCGAAUUCGGGGGUGGCGAUGAUUGGAUGGAAUAAAUACAAAACAUACCUACAUAGUAUUUUAUAGAUUUAAGCAUCAGAACAAAACUAAGUCGAAGUUUUGUAAAAGCGGAUGAUACAUAGUCAGUAUUUUACAGAAUAUACCUAGGUACUCGUACACCGUGUUUCUUUGAAACUGUGUGAAGCCUAGCCACGCUCUGAGGGGCGAAUAUGUAGAUAUUGUAUUACCAAACUUGGCCUAGUAGUUAUGACGGGACGGUGGAUAACAAAACAGACAUACAAUACAUACAUACAUACGGAGACACUAGACAUAGAUACAUAUACACCAAGAAAUGUAAUCAGUGAUCAGGAACCAAUUUUUCUAAUUCAGGACCACUUGCACCAUCCCACUAACCCGGGGUUAACCGAUUAAACCGUUAACCCAGUGUCAAACUGUGUUGGUAACCAUGGUAACUCCAGAUUUAACUGGUUUACCCCAGGUAAAUGGGAUGGUGCAGGUGGCGCUCAGUCAUCGAUGGCGAUCACAUUUAAUUAUGGGACCAACCUCGAAAUCACAAAAAAAUAAAUCCUGUUUCAUACUUUUAGGCUGGUCCGAUGUUGAUAUUUUCAGAGAUGUGACUUAUUUGAAAUACUUGUAUUUAAAAUGCUAAUACAAAAUGCAAAAUACCUAUUUUGUAUUUAAAUACCUUUUGAAGAAAACUAUUUUGUAUUUUAUUUGAAAUAGUUUUUGGGACCUAUUUUCUAUUUUCAAAAUACAAAAUACUUUAUAGUAGGUAGGUAAUGUAGGUAUAGGAGUUACAAUCUCUUCUGAUGUUACAAUCCUGGCAAUUAUCUCUUUCUUUUAACAUGGAACGGUUGAGUCUGUUUAAUAACAUCGCACAUGACCACAAAAGUGGAAUCUUGAGUGUUGCGAGGGUUUCAAGGCACGAGAGGAGAACAAACUUUUCUGCCCUGGUGAAACACAAACGAGACGUUUUCAUCACACUAACGAGAGGCAUUAUACUAGCUGUAAAACAUUACAAAUUAAUGCUUUAAAAGUUGGCCGUUAAAAACCAUCAUCCAUACCUACAUCCUACCGGUUAAUAUGAGCAAACAACUUUUUAAAAUUUGCACUUUAGAUAGAGGAUUGAUUUCAAAGAAUAAAGAGUCUUUUCAACUCGGAAAUUCCGAGUAAUACUUUUUAAUUCAGCCUAGGUAUUCACUACUCAGAGUACCUUUUAUCGCAAAGUAUUUGUAUUUUUAAAAAGUAUUUUGAAAAUACCUAUUUCGUAUUUAGUAUUUAAAUACAAAUUCAAAAACGAUUUUGUAUUUUGCAUUUGAAAUAGUAUUAUCAAGGAAGUAUUUGUAUUUUGUAUUUAAAUACUUUUUAUAAAGUAUUUAUCACAUCUCUGGUUAUUUUCUAUGAGAGAGUACAUUUUUUUGCGUUUUUGCGGUUUGUUUCAUAGUUAAAUGCGAUCGCCAUCGAUGACUGAAUUAGAAAAAUAGGUUCCUGAUCACCGAUUGAAAAUCAUCGUGUAUAUCAUAUAUAUAUACGUAGACUGUUAGAGUCGUAAAAACAUACAUCUCUUCUACAAAACACCGACUUUUAAGCUUCAUUUAUGUAUUAUACUACGAAGUUAGCUUUAAAAGAUAUAUAGUAUUGUUAAAAUUGGCAAUUGGUAAGAGAUAUUUUUAAGAUAAUUAUGUGAGAUGCCUUAAAGGGGCCUUGAAAUAAACAUAUUUAGAUCCCUGCGCUUUUCAUACAUUAUCGAAUUAAUAGAAUAAAAUAGUAAAUGAGUGGUCAAAAAACACCAUCCUAAAGGGCUAAGAAGCUAUAUAAAGCGUCUUUAUAUAACAUAAUACAUGGUGCCUAAUCAUGGGCGUACGCAGCAUUUUGUAAGGGGUGGGGCAGAAGUAGGGGAGGCUGGGUACGUCGUCACAGGGUACGGUUGAAACAGAAAUUCUCAGUGUUGCCAACUUGGCAUAAAUGAUGCCAGAUCUGGCAUAUUUUCACUCGCUUAUUGGCACCAAAAUUUUCCAUUUAGCAUCUGGCAUAUUUUUUAGCAUAAUUUAGUCUAAGCCAAGUUUGCACCAACUUGGCAGCAACAAUAUGCGCCAUCGCCUUAUGUGGUUCAUAUUUUCAUAAGAAUUUUGACUUUUGUGGACGGAUGGACGUCGACGGACUAUAUAAAGCUGGUCAAGCAGAUCUUGUUAGUAGAAAAGUGGCGGAAAAAUUGAAAAACGUAUGUGUUUUAAGUGUCUAAUUUCAAGUUUCAAUUUAGCAUUUUAUUCAGCUUAUUUCAAAAAACUUUGGCAUAAUUUUGGCAUAAUUUAGACAUUAGUCUAGCAUUUUUUCAAAAUCCGAGUUGGCAACACUGGAAAUUCUUAGCUUAUGGCCAGAGACCAGGGUGGGGCAACUGCCCCACCUUGCCCCACCGUGGGUACGCCUAUGUGCCUAAUGCCUAGCCGCCAAAACACCAAUCGUUUCCGCCGUAGUGAACGAUACGCUAAUAUGUGUCUCUGUCGCUCUAAUGAAUAUGAAGUAUGGAAGAGUCGUUAUAGAGAUGACCGUUUCGUUCGCUACGGCGCAAAAGAUUUGUAUCUUGGCUAGACCCUCUGGUUUCGCAAGCGAAGGUAAUAGGACGACAACCUUUUGAACGCCAAGAACACCUAAAGUCGUCAUUACUAGUCAGGCCAAGAAUAGUCUGCAGCGGAUUUGAUAGCCCACGCGGUGAAAGUGUUAUUUUAAACGUCAAACUUCUAUGAAAUUAUGACGUAUAAAUGACACUUGCACUGCGUGGGUUAUUAAAUCCGCUGCAAACUUUUUUUGGUCCGACUCUAGUCUUGCCCACAGCGCCAUGGAUAACUUGGUGUUAUGGCGUACGCUGUCAAAGUAACCUUCACUCUUUCAAGUAAGGUUUAAGUUAGCCCCCUUGCGCCGGGAGCUUGAGUGAUGUUUGUGUUUAUGACUAAGGGCCAGUUGCACCAACUACAUUUGACAGACUGAUCAACGUCAGCCGGCGCGCCCUGCGCCCUUUACUAUGAAACUUUCCAUACAUAAAAAUUUAGAGAACUCUUUUAACGAUACGAACAGUUUGGUGCAACCGACCCUUAAAGCGUUCAAAAAGUUAAAAGCUACCGAUACGUUACGUACGUUAAAAUCAAAAUUUUAAUUCAUGUCGAAUAUACCCUAAAUUAAAAGAAAUACCGACAUUUACCACAAACUAAAAAACAUUCUUACACAAAUUGACUUAGCCCCACAGUAAGCUCAAGAAGGCUCAUGCUGUGAGCCGUUCUUUGUAAAAAAUACCGAUGACUGAGAAAAAUAAAUGUCACAAAUAUGCCCUUAACCGGGAUUCGAACCCAGGAAUUUCGGCUUCAUAUUCGUACGAAUAUACCUAAGUAUUUACUAUAUAUUCAUAAUGGGGACUUUAUUGAGACAAAAAAUACAAACUAAACAAUAAUACAACUAAACUACACGGAAUAUAAAACUUAAAAUAAUCAUAUAAAUAGACUUAUAAAUAAAAAAUGCUCCCUCGGUCGCUGUCAUGUGUUAUGGUGCCCAGUAGGCUGGCAGCGUUACCUCGUUGGAUGGCCAGACAGUCUCUGGCCGAAGUAGCUGCCAGCCCUCUGGUCACCAGACGCGUCUAUAAGGCGCUCAGAUAUUUCUUUAUACAGGGCGUCCCACGGCUAUGCCACAUGGAGAGAAAGUACCCUAAAUAUUGUAGAUGGAACAUUUUAUUGAAAGAAGACAUUAUUUUAAUUUAAAAAACAAUUCAAACUGCAUUCAUAGAUUUUUAAAUAAUUACAUGGUUGAACCGGGAAUCGAACCCGCCGCACAAGAAAAAAAGCACUCUGUAGCUUUAUCAUACCGAUCGAAAGGCUUGAUCAUAAGGAUUAUUUUUUGCUAAAUAACAUAGUGUCGGAAAUAAAAGGAAGCCCAUGAAUUUUAACAUUUUUAAUUCAAAAUUAAUCAAUUUAAUUUAUCAAAUGCUCAAAAUGUAGUCUCAUUCUGUUGAAUACAAAGCCGCACUCUUUUGAUUAUUUCGCUAAAUUUCACAUCAAAUGUUAAAAUUCAUGGUCUUCCUUUUGUUUCUGACACUAUGUUCUUUAGCAAAAAAUAAUCCUUAUGAUCAAGCCUUUCGAUCGGUAUGAUAAAGCUACAGGGUGAUUUUUUUUCUCGUGCGGCGGGUUCGAUUCCCGGUUCAACCAUGUAAUUAUUUAAAAAUCUAUGAAUGCAGUUUAAAUUGUUUUUUAAAUUAAAAUAAUGUCUUCUUUCAGUAAAAUGUUCCAUCUACAAUAUUUAGGGUACUUUCCCUCCAUGUGGCAUAGCCGUGGGACGCCCGGACUUCGCACUGGGCCCCCACGGACUCAGAGUUUCGACUCCGAACGGUGCAAAUAUGUAGCCCUCGCCGAGGACAGAGGCGCGGUGUAUAGUAAAAUGCGCUUUUUUGUAACCAUAUUUACAGACUUUUACAAGGAUUUCAUGCAUUAUUUUCUAGUAUGUAUAACUUUAGUCCUUGAACUACGUUAUUGCUUGUCAGAAACUCAACGGCUCAUUAUUUUCUGGACAGAAUCUUAAGUUGAAAAUAUGCUUAAAGCUGUCUUUUGAUCCAUAUUUUAGAAGUACUACGACGAAAAUGGAUAUGAAACUUACCUCAUUCGAUAGGUUUUAAGUAAAUCUUCGUUAUUGCUGGUCCUUUUAUUGAUACGUUAAUCUUUUCAUUCAUAAUUUUAUGAAUUCAACUUUUGCCUACUAAAUUUCACCCUACGCGGCAAUACCUUGCGCCCAUUCCCCGCGCCAGUACGCCCGUGGCCACUGCCAGCGUCGGACCUAUGCUAGUUUAGUGGACGUUUCAUAAAAUGGGUAUUCACUGUAUAAAUAUGCAAAUAUGUUAUACACACAAUGUUUUUCAACAUACUUACGAAGAAAAGCAAAAUAAUUCUUAAUUACUGUGACAUUUCAGACAUUCGCCCGUCAUAUUGUCAUUUUAUAACAAGUUGGGAAGCAAAGGCACACACCCAUCUAACCAAUCCGGAAUUCAGUCACGAUUGAUAAAUUGUGUAAACAUAUUUUAUUAAAGGCUAUUAAAUUAAACAAAUUGAAUCAUUUUUAUAAACAUAUGUGUACGGAUUUCAAAUACCUAUGUGGGAGUGUUUAGUGUAUUGUGGUAACCAUUUCACCGCUUUUAGUUUCCGAGUUACCUAAAUACCUACAUGCGUUUUAAGGGAAGUGGUCGAAAAAUGCCUAAAAUGGUUUUGUGUUUAAUAUUAGGUAAGGUAGAAGUACUAGUGCUCGACGCUGCACUAGUAUUCGAUAUGGGUAUAGUGUGUAGCUUUCAAAUAGAGCUCGACGGCUAAUCCUAUUGUCUAUUGUUAAGUAAAACUGCUCGUGCCACGUGCCACAACCACCUGCAUAAAAAAUACGUACUUCGGUUACUGAGUGCCGGCGAGUCGAACGCUACAGAACCAGUCUAAAAUCGAGAUGCGUAACAAAGGCGCGUUAUCGGAGAGCGCACCUACACUGGUUUUUUGAGCGUUGGCCUAGCCCGCGCUCAGGUGCCAAAUAAAAUAAUUAAGACCCUUUUUUGCAGGUAAGUAGCACGUGCGAUUUUACUUAACAAUAGACAAUAGGAUUAGCCGUUGAGCUCUAUUUGAAGGUACACACUAUACUUUAUGUCAAAGUAAUAUAGGUUAAAUUUGAACGGCGACGAUCUUUCUGUAUUCAAAUUUAAUUCUUGUCACUUUGACAUAAAGUGGCCGUGUCGAAUACUAGUGCAGCGUUGAGCACUAGUACUUCUACCUUAUUUCCGCCAAGUCCGUACCGUACCGUGCUAUAUGGAAAUUAAUUCCAAAAAAUGCUGUUUUUAUAUACCACACUGGUGGCAAGCAAGCAUACGACCCGCAUUCACCAUAGCCUAUGGACGCCUACAGCUACGGGGAUGUGACACAUCAUGCCAAAUGUUGAUUGAUUUUAUAUAAAAUUAAAGUCCUAAUAUAUAAAAUAAGCUUUCAUAAGUAAUAGUUACUGAUUUUUAAAAAGCGCUUUUCAAUUAAAAGACAUGUCAAGAUCGCUUACCUUACUUUCUAAUGCUAAAAAAAACGAACUACAGUAUUCUUCCUUAUUUUCAAUACCUACUUGCCCGAAAUUGAGUUCUAGAAUUAGACCAAGUCUACGACGAUUUUGAUUGCACACGCAGUGCAAGUGUUAAUCAUAAUUUCAUAAAGGUUUGUCGUUCAAAAUAACACUUGCACUGCGUGUGCAAUCAAAAUCGUUGCAGAAUUUUCUUGGUCUAACUCUAUUAUAUUUUUAAGGUAAGGAAGUACUAAUUUCUGUCUCAUAAUAAUUGUGUAUAAUUUGAUUAGGUUCUUAGUUUGUCGGGGUAUACUCUCAUAUUGUAUAUAAUUUCAUUAAGUACUCAUUAAAAUACGAAUUUGCUAUAAGCCUUAUUCGAUAUUAAUUGCCGGAAAAAAUCCCGGAACUGACAAAUCAGAAUAUUCAGAAUACCGAUGGCGCCAGAAUAAGGAUGUAGACGUGCUGCGCGGGAAUGGUGCGGCGGGGCGCGCGGGGCGCCCGCCCGCCUGUUCUACCACUCGUCUGCUUCACCCCCUCGGAAACGUAAAACUCAAAUAUAAGAGCGCCUUAAAUACGCAAUACAGUCCGUAGCGGCCCCCUUUUUUAAAUAGGUACCUGUCGUUAAAUUUAAAUAAUCACGAUUAUUUAGCAGUGGCGCUAGUGUGCACGUCGAUGGGCUCUUAAGAGCUACAGUGCCACGGAUUUAGCGGAACCCCUCUUUUUGCGUCGGGGGUUAAAUAUUAUAUCAUUCCUUCAGAAUAACCGUAACGAAAUGAGAAUGUAAAUUGGUGCAAAAUAGAUAUUUAUCAAUUUUUGAUUGGGAAUAUAAAAAAAAUACAUGACUUGUUAUUUAUUACGGGCUGUUGUAUAUCGCACUGCGUCGUUUUAUAAAAAAGCACGAUGUGUGACAUUCACUUCACGUAACAAAGUAUCCAACGAUGUAUAAUUAACGAUCUUUCAUUUUUACAUGUAAAUUGGUGCAAAAUAGAUAUUUAUCAAUUUUUGAUUGGGAAUAUAAAAAAAAUACAUGACUUGUUAUUUAUUACGGGCUGUUGUAUAUUGCACUGCGUCGUUUUAUAAAAAAGCACGAUGUGUGACAUUCACUUCACGUAACAAAGUAUCCAACGAUGUAUAAUUAACGAUCUUUCAUUUUUACAGUAUGUACCCAGGUAUCCGUGAAAUUAGUUUACAUUUUUUAGGACUUCAUACAUAUAUGUAAUUAGGAUUGCCUGACUCGUUCUGUAAGCGUCUAGCCUGCACCUCGGCUGGCAACUUGUCCCGGCCUGUUCUGUAUCUGAGCGAUGUACGCCAUCCUAAUUUUACAGUCAUUUAGUUAUUUCUUUAUUCAUCAUUUUUCUUAGGCUAGGGUUUUAAUAAUAUGAAUAUAAAAGUAAAAUAUAAAAACACUUACAAAACAAUAAAAAAUACAUAUAAACACAACCUAUAAAAAACCUAACCUAGGGUGCCGCCAGCAGCGGGGCAAGGCCCAAGCUACCGGUGGUCAGGGCUGCAGAGAGAGGAACCAAUUAGUUAUUUUAUUUUUACAUUAAGUAAAUCGGGUAUUUAUUGUAUUUACCAAAAAAUGCAAGCAUUUUAGUCUGUUCAUUUAAAUAGAAUAUUGCAUGCCAUUUAUUAAAUCAAUAUAUCAGUUUGUUGUGAA